UACGUAGGGUGCAAGCGUUGUCCGGAAUUAUUGGGCGUAAAGAGCUCGUAGGCGGUCUGUCGCGUCUGCUGUGAAAACCCGAGGCUCAACCUCGGGCCUGCAGUGGGUACGGGCAGACUAGAGUGAUGUAGGGGAGACUGGAAUUCCUGGUGUAGCGGUGAAAUGCGCAGAUAUCAGGAGGAACACCGAUGGCGAAGGCAGGUCUCUGGGCAUUAACUGACGCUGAGGAGCGAAAGCAUGGGGAGCGAACAGG
rnacentral:rRNA from 1 species